AUUGAACGCUGGCGGCACGCCUAACACAUGCAAGUCGAGCGGCAGCGAGACUAGUAGCAAUACUAGUUGUCGGCGAGCGGCGGACGGGUGAGUAACCCGUAGGAAUCUGCCCUUAAGCGGGGGAUAACCAAGGGAAACUUUGGCUAAUACCGCAUAAUCUCGAGAGAGCAAAGCUGCCCGCAAGGGUGGCACUUGAGGAGGAGCCUGCGUCCGAUUAGCUAGUUGGUGGGGUAAUGGCCUACCAAGGCGAUGAUCGGUAACUGGGCUGAGAGGACGACCAGUCACACUGGAACGGAGACACGGCCCAGACUCAUACGGGAGGCAGCAGUGGGGAAUAUUGGACAAUGGGGGCAACCCUGAUCCAGCGAUGCCGCGUGAGUGAAGAAGGCCUUCGGGUCGUAAAGCUCUUUAGGUUGGGAAGAAGGGUAUUGGCUGAAUAAUCCAGUACUUUGACGGUACCGACAGAAUAAGCACCGGCAAACUCUGUGCCAGCCGCCGCCGUAAGAC
rnacentral:rRNA from 1 species